rnacentral:rRNA from 1 species
UACAGAGGUCUCAAGCGUUGUUCGGAUUCAUUGGGCGUAAAGAGCUCGUAGGCGGUCUGUUGCGUCCGCUGUGAAAACUCGGGGCUUAACCCCGAGCCUGCAGUGGAUACGGGCAGACUAGAGGUAGGUAGGGGAGAAUGGAAUUCCCGGUGUAGCGGUGAAAUGCGCAGAUAUCGGGAGGAACACCGGUGGCGAAGGCGGUUCUCUGGGCCAUUACUGACGCUGAGGAGCGAAAGCGUGGGGAGCGAACAGG